UACGUAGGGUGCAAGCGUUAAUCGGAAUUACUGGGCGUAAAGCGUGCGCAGGCGGUUGUGCAAGCCCGAUGUGAAAUCCCCGGGCUUAACCUGGGAAUGGCAUUUGGGACUGCAAGGCUGGAGUGUGGCAGAGGAGACUGGAAUUCCCGGUGUAGCAGUGAAAUGCGUAGAUAUCGGGAGGAAUACCGAUGGCGAAGGCAGGUCUCUGGGCUGACACUGACGCUCAUGCACGAAAGCGUGGGGAGCAAACAGG
rnacentral:rRNA from 1 species